CAGGACGAACGCUGGCGGCGUGCCUAAUACAUGCAAGUCGAGCGGACCGACGGGAGCUUGCUCCCUUAGGUCAGCGGCGGACGGGUGAGUAACACGUGGGUAACCUGCCUGUAAGACUGGGAUAACUCCGGGAAACCGGGGCUAAUACCGGAUGCUUGAUUGAACCGCAUGGUUCAAUCAUGAAAGGCGGCUUCGGCUGCCGUUUACAGAUGGACCCGCGGCGCAUUAGCUAGUUGGUGAGGUAACGGCUCACCAAGGCGACGAUGCGUAGCCGACCUGAGAGGGUGAUCGGCCACACUGGGACUGAGACACGGCCCAGACUCCUACGGGAGGCAGCAGUAGGGAAUCUUCCGCAAUGGACGAAAGUCUGACGGAGCAACGCCGCGUGAGUGAUGAAGGUUUUCGGAUCGUAAAGCUCUGUUGUUAGGGAAGAACAAGUACCGUUCGAAUAGGGCGGUACCUUGACGGUACCUAACCAGAAAGCCACGGCUAACUACGUGCCAGCAGCCGCGGUAAUACGUAGGUGGCAAGCGUUGUCCGGAAUUAUUGGGCGUAAAGCGCGCGCAGGCGGUUUCUUAAGUCUGAUGUGAAAGCCCCCGGCUCAACCGGGGAGGGUCAUUGGAAACUGGGGAACUUGAGUGCAGAAGAGGAGAGUGGAAUUCCACGUGUAGCGGUGAAAUGCGUAGAGAUGUGGAGGAACACCAGUGGCGAAGGCGACUCUCUGGUCUGUAACUGACGCUGAGGCGCGAAAGCGUGGGGAGCGAACAGGAUUAGAUACCCUGGUAGUCCACGCCGUAAACGAUGAGUGCUAAGUGUUAGAGGGUUUCCGCCCUUUAGUGCUGCAGCAAACGCAUUAAGCACUCCGCCUGGGGAGUACGGUCGCAAGACUGAAACUCAAAGGAAUUGACGGGGGCCCGCACAAGCGGUGGAGCAUGUGGUUUAAUUCGAAGCAACGCGAAGAACCUUACCAGGUCUUGACAUCCUCUGACAUCCCUAGAGAUAGGGCUUCCCCUUCGGGGGCAGAGUGACAGGUGGUGCAUGGUUGUCGUCAGCUCGUGUCGUGAGAUGUUGGGUUAAGUCCCGCAACGAGCGCAACCCUUGAUCUUAGUUGCCAGCAUUCAGUUGGGCACUCUAAGGUGACUGCCGGUGACAAACCGGAGGAAGGUGGGGAUGACGUCAAAUCAUCAUGCCCCUUAUGACCUGGGCUACACACGUGCUACAAUGGACAGAACAAAGGGCAGCGAAGCCGCGAGGCUCAGCCAAUCCCACAAAUCUGUUCUCAGUUCGGAUCGCAGUCUGCAACUCGACUGCGUGAAGCUGGAAUCGCUAGUAAUCGCGGAUCAGCAUGCGCGGGUGGAUACGUUCCCGGGCCUUGUACACACCGCCCGUCACACCACGAGAGUUUGUAACACCCGAAGUCGGUGAGGUAACCUUUUGGAGCCAGC
rnacentral:rRNA from 1 species